rfam:Thelohanellus kitauei scaffold02360, whole genome shotgun sequence.
UCCCAGUUAGUAUAGCGGUAAGUAUCCCUGCCUGUCACGCAGGAGACCGGGGUUCGAUUCCCCGACUGGGAG